rnacentral:lncRNA from 1 species
UGCCACCAGGCUGGGAAAAAAGAGUGGAUUCAACAGACAGGGUUUACUUUGUGAAUCAUAACACAAAAACAACCCAGUGGGAAGAUCCAAGAACUCAAGGCUUACAGAAUGAAGAACCCCUGCCAGAAGGCUGGGAAAUUAGAUAUACUCGUGAAGGUGUAAGGUACUUUGUUGAUCAUAACACAAGAACAACAACAUUCAAAGAUCCUCGCAAUGGGAAGUCAUCUGUAACUAAAGGUGGUCCACAAAUUGCUUAUGAACGCGGCUUUAGGUGGAAGCUUGCUCACUUCCGUUAUUUGUGCCAGUCUAAUGCACUACCUAGUCAUGUAAAGAUCAAUGUGUCCCGGCAGACAUUGUUUGAAGAUUCCUUCCAACAGAUUAUGGCAUUAAAACCCUAUGACUUGAGGAGGCGCUUAUAUGUAAUAUUUAGAGGAGAAGAAGGACUUGAUUAUGGUGGCCUAGCGAGGUAAAAUAAAAAACACAUAUCUGCCUUGAAAUAAGUAUAUCUCAUUGUAUACAGGGAAAGUAUUCUUCAAAACAUAUGUGAAUAUAUUGUAUUAAAUUUUUGAAUUAACAAUCCAGAAUUUUUCUCAAAAAUACACACGGUAACCAUUAUUAUUAUUACUACUCUUGGUUAUCUUUCUAUACAUCUUUACAUAUAUGUAAAUUUGUAUAUAUGUGUAAUAUAGUAUAUAUUUGCUGCUUUUUUUAACAGUUAAUCAUACAAUGUACAAAAUGUAGGAUCUGAUUUUGUUUUUUUAUAUAGUGUGGGCAUCUUUCUAUGUUAGCAUAUAUACAGUGAGUGAAUGAAUUUGUUUAUUUCUUUUUCUUCUUGUUUUUUAAAAAGUUUUAAAGGCUGGACGUGGUGGCUUACGCCUGUAAUCCCAGCACUUUGGGAGGCCAAGGCGGGUGGAUCAUGAUAUCAGGAGAUCGAGACCAUCCUGGCUAACACGGUGAAACCCCGUCUCUACUAAAAAUAAAAAAAAUUAGCCAGGCGUGGUGGUGGGCGCCUGUAGUUCCAGCUACUCGGGAGGGUAAGGCAGGAGAAUGGUGUGAACCCAGGAGGCGGAGCUUGCAGUGAGCUGAGAUCAUGCCACUGCACUCCAGCCUGGGUGAUGGAGCAAGACGCUGUGUC